rnacentral:rRNA from 1 species
AACGAACGCUGGCGGCAUGCCUAACACAUGCCAGUCGAACGAAGGCUUCGGCCUUAGUGGCGCACGGGUGCGUAACGCGUGGGAAUCUGCCCUUUGCUUCGGAAAAACAGAUAGAAAUGACUGCUAGUACCGGAUGAUGUCGCAAGACCAAAGAUUUAUCGGCAAAGGAUGAGCCCGCGUAGGAUUAGGUAGUUGGUGGGGUAAAGGACUACCAAGGCGACGAUCCUUAGCUGGUCUGAGAGGAUGAUCAGCCACACUGGGACUGAGACACGGCCCAGACUCCUACGGGAGGCAGCGGUCGGGAAUAUUGGACAGUGGGCGCGAGCCUGAUAAAGCAAUGCCGCGUGAUUGAUGCAGGCCUUGGGGUUGUAAAGCUCUUUUACCCGGGAUGAUAAUGACAGUACCGGGAGAAUAAGCACCGGCUAACUCCGUG